rnacentral:rRNA from 1 species
GAUGAACGCUAGCGACAGGCUUAACACAUGCAAGUCGAGGGGCAGCGGUGGUGAAGGCUUGCCUUUACCAGCCGGCGACCGGCGCACGGGUGAGUAACACGUAUGCAACCUGCCUGCCACAGCCGGAUAAUCGGGAGAAAUCCCGUCUAAUACGGCAUAAUGCACCUAUGGGACAUCCUGUUGGUGCCAAAGGUUGAUUCCGGUGGCGGAUGGGCAUGCGUCGCAUUAGUUAGUUGGCGGUGUAACGGACCACCAAGACGACGAUGCGUAGGGGUUCUGAGAGGAAGGUCCGCCACACUGGUACUGAGACACGGACCAG